CAGUAGCCACGGUAACACGGAGGGGGCUAGCGUUGUUCGGAAUUACUGGGCGUAAAGCGCACGUAGGCGGCUUGGUAAGUUAGAGGUGAAAGCCCGGAGCUCAACUCCGGAAUUGCCUUUAAGACUGCCGAGCUAGCAGGUGAGAGAGGUAAGUGGAAUUCCGAGUGUAGAGGUGAAAUUCGUAGAUAUUCGGAAGAACACCAGUGGCGAAGGCGGCUUACUGGCUCAUACUGGACGCUGAGGUGCGAAAGCGUGGGGAGCAAACAGGAUUAGAUACCCGUGUAGUCCCUGUCUCUUAUAC
rnacentral:rRNA from 1 species